CCUACGGGGGGCUGCAGUGGGGAAUAUUGGACAAUGGGGGCAACCCUGAUCCAGUCAUGCCGCGUGUGUGAAGAAGGCCCUCGGGUUGUAAAGCACUUUCAGUGAGGAAGAACGCCUGGUGGUUAAUACCCAUCAGGAAAGACAUCACUCACAGAAGAAGCACCGGCUAACUCCGUGCCAGCAGCCGCGGUAAUACGGAGGGUGCGAGCGUUAAUCGGAAUUACUGGGCGUAAAGCGCGCGUAGGUGGCUUGAUAAGCCGGUUGUGAAAGCCCCGGGCUCAACCUGGGAACGGCAUCCGGAACUGUCAAGCUAGAGUGCAGGAGAGGAAGGUAGAAUUCCCGGUGUAGCGGUGAAAUGCGUAGAGAUCGGGAGGAAUACCAGUGGCGAAGGCGGCCUUCUGGACUGACACUGACACUGAGGUGCGAAAGCGUGGGUAGCAAACAGGAUUAGAUACCCUGGUAGUC
rnacentral:rRNA from 1 species